GUGCUCGCUUCAGCAGCACAUUACGAAAACUGGAACGAUACGGACAGGAUUAGCAUGGCCCUUGUGCACGGAUGACAUGCAAAUUUGCGAAGUGUUCCAUAUUUUU
rfam:Tupaia chinensis contig238460, whole genome shotgun sequence.